rnacentral:sRNA from 1 species
UCGCCACUAGUUUGUCUGCGAUGCCAGA